GAUGAAGAACGUAGCGAAAUGCGAUAAGUAAUGUGAAUUGCAGAAUUCAGUGAAUCAUCGAAUCUUUGAACGCACAUUGCGCCCCUUGGUAUUCCGAGGGGCAUGCCUGUUCGAGCGUCAUUAUAACCCCUCAAGCUCAGCUUGGUGUUGGGGCCUGCUGCACUGGCAGCCCUUAAAAUCAGUGGCGGCGCCAUCUGGCUCUAAGCGUAGUAAUUCUUCUCGCUAUGGAGUCCUGCUGGAUGCUUGCCAUCAACCCCCAAUUUUUCUAUGGUUGACCUCGGAUCAGGUAGGGAUACCCGCUGAACUUAAGCAUAUCAAUAAGCGGAGGA
rnacentral:misc_RNA from 1 species